rnacentral:rRNA from 1 species
GAUGAACGCUGGCGGCGUGCCUAAUACAUGCAAGUCGAGCGAAGCGGGGACGGGUGAGUAACACGUGGAUAACCUCCUAUAAGACUGGGAUAACUUCUGGAAACCGGAGCUAAACCGGAUACUUAUAGUUGACUCCGCGCUGCAUUAGCUAGUUGGUAAGUGAACGGAUUACCAAGGCAACGAUGAAUAGCCGACCUGAGAGGGGGAUCGGCCACAAUGGAAUGGAGAAACGGUCCAGACCCCUACGGAAGGCAGCAGUAGGGAAUAUUCCGCAAUGGGCGAAAGCCGGACGGAGAAACGCCGCGUGAGUGAUGAAGGUCUUCGGAUCGUAAAACUCUGUUAUUAGGGAAGCGGUACCUAAUCAGAAAGCCACGGCUAACUACGUGCCAGCAGCCGCGGUAAUUC